ACAGACAAGUCGAGCAGGUACGAAAGUAGGUCAUAGUGAUCCGGUGGUUCUGAAUGGAAGGGCCAUCGCUCAACGGAUAAAAGGUACUCCGGGGAUAACAGGCUGAUACCGCCCAAGAGUUCAUAUCGACGGCGGUGUUUGGCACCUCGAUGUCGGCUCAUCACAUCCUGGGGCUGAAGUAGGUCCCAAGGGUAUGGCUGUUCGCCAUUUAAAGUGGUACGCGAGCUGGGUUUAGAACGUCGUGAGACAGUUCGGUCCCUAUCUGCCGUGGGCGUUGGAGAAUUGGUUGGGGCUGCUCCUAGUACGAGAGGACCGGAGUGGACGCACCACUGGUGUUCCGGUUGUGUCGCCAGACGCAUUGCCGGGUAGCUAAGUGCGGAAGAGAUAAGUGCUGAAAGCAUCUAAGCACGAAACUUGCCAAGAGAUGAGUUCUCCCAGGUUAUAAACCUGUAAGGGUUGUUUAAGACUAAGACGUAGAUAGGCAGGGUGUGUAAGUGAUGUGAGUCAUUGAGCUAACCUGUACUAAUUGCCCGAGAGGCUUAACUAUACAACGCUCAAG
rnacentral:rRNA from 1 species